GAUGAACGCUGGCGGCGUGCCUAAUACAUGCAAGUCGAGCGAACGGACGAGAAGCUUGCUUUUCUGAUGUUAGCGGCGGACGGGUGAGUAACACGUGGAUAACCUACCUAUAAGACUGGGAUAACUUCGGGAAACCGGAGCUAAUACCGGAUAAUAUUUUGAACCGCAUGGUUCAAAAGUGAAAGACGGUCUUGCUGUCACUUAUAGAUGGAUCCGCGCUGCAUUAGCUAGUUGGUAAGGUAACGGCUUACCAAGGCAACGAUGCAUAGCCGACCUGAGAGGGUGAUCGGCCACACUGGAACUGAGACACGGUCCAGACUCCUACGGGAGGCAGCAGUAGGGAAUCUUCCGCAAUGGGCGAAAGCCUGACGUAGCAACGCCGCGUGAGUGAUGAAGGUCUUCGGAUCGUAAAACUCUGUUAUUAGGGAAGAACAGAUGUGUAAGUAACUGUGCACAUCUUGACGGUACCUAAUCAGAAAGCCACGGCUAACUACGUG
rnacentral:rRNA from 1 species